rnacentral:lncRNA from 1 species
AUGGAGGAAAGAAAGGACUUCAGUCUUUGGAGAGCCCUAGCAGUUAAAUGUGAACUCCCUUUUUGCAUCAGAAAGGUUGUUGAUGUGGUUAUUGCAGCAGCACUCUGCUGAAUGGCUGUAAUUUACAUACACUUAUCUCCGCUCCCUUCUGCUUCCCCUGGCCUCCUGUAAUUUGCUUGUUACAAGUACCAAGGAAGUAUCUCCAGGGAGCUGCAGGGAAAAUCAAGCUGAAGAUGUGUGAGAUUUUUCAAGUGUGUCUACAGUAUUUUGUUGCUCCUUUUUUUGCCAUGAGAAAAUUGCGUUGCAGGUGGAGUGGAUAAAGGAGGAAAGAUAUACUGACAUAGUAACAUUCUUUAGGUUGAGAAUUGUGGUUGUUUUAGUAAAUAGCAAGCCAAGGAGAACAGCUUAGGGUAACAAUAUUCCCUAGUUAGAAAAGGACUACCGCAGCUUUAGUUAGAGAACAUGCAAUGUUCUAAAUUUACUUUUGAUAAGUUGCAUAUUCUAAGAUCUGUAUGUUUUUUCUAAGCCAAAAUACAUUAACU